rnacentral:lncRNA from 1 species
GGUGAGGCCCUGCCCCGAGCUGCCAACCCCGCACCGGGCACCUGGGCAGCUACGACCGGCCUCAGCGGUGCCGUAAGGCCUGCUGCUAUUUUAUUUUUCCCCUAAGCGCUUGGUAGAUCGUUUCUAAGUUGGAAACGUCUCUUUUAAAAUUCUAGGUAAGAGGUGCUGGAAGCGGAGUCAGCGAAGGCGCAGGAACUCCGACCCUCCCGCCCGUAACGAACAAUCUCUCAGCAUCCCUUCUCCUGUUCAAACUGCACUCAGCUAGUAUUUAUCUGCUUGCUGUAGCCGGCUAACAGGUCCCAGCAUCAGCUCACCACUGCUUAUGGUGAUCUCGAAACAUAGAAGAAAAGUACAGCUCUCAACUGAGUUCAGCUGCCCUGCACCGACGUAUCUGCGGCUGAGAACGGCGGUGCAGAUUCAAAAAGGAAGCGUUCCAGCUCUUGACGAAGUGAAAUUAUUUACUUAUUCUUACAUCUUCUUUAACAAGUGGCUAUGA